rnacentral:rRNA from 1 species
AGAGUUUGAUCAUGGCUCAGGACGAACGCUGGCGGCGUGGAUUAGGCAUGCAAGUCGAACGGUAUAAACCUUCGGGGUUUAGAGAGUGGCGAACGGGUGAGUAACACGUAGGUAAUCUACCCUCAAAACGGGGACAACCCAGGGAAACUUGGGCUAAUACCGGAUGCGUGCAAGCAAUGUUUUGGCUGUUAAUGCUAUUCACGGAAGUGAGUAGUGUUAAUGGUUGAGAGCAUUAUUUGCAUAAAAGGUGGCAUAUGCUGCCGUUUGAGGAUGAGCCUGCGUCCUAUUAGUUAGUUGGUGAGGUAAUGGCUUACCAAGGCGAUGAUAGGUAGGCGGCCUUAACGGGUGGUCGCCCACACUGGGAUUGAGAGACGGCCCAGACUCCUACGGGAGGCAGCAGUCGAGAAUAGUCUACAAUGGACGGAAGUCUGAUAGUGCGACGCCGCGUGAACGAAGAAUCCCUUCGGGGUGUAAAGUUCUUUUAUACGUGAGCAGUGCCCUUUAUAUGAAUAGUAUAGAGGGAGGGAUUUAAGCGUAUGAAUAAGCAACGGCUAACUCCGUGCCAGCAGCCGCGGUAACACGGGGGUUGCAAGCGUUGUCCGGAAUUACUAGGCGUAAAGUGCAGGUAGGCGGAUAGAUAAGUUUAAGGUUAAAGGCUACGGCUUACCCGUAGUAAGGCGUUAGAUACUGUUUAUCUGGAAUGCGGUUGAGGGAGACAGAAUUCCUGGUGUAGCGGUGGAAUGCGCAGAGAUCAGGAGGAAUACCGAAGGCGAAGGCAGUCUCCUAAGCCGAUAUUGACGCUAAACUGCGAAGGUGUGGGGAUCAAACAGGAUUAGAUACCCUGGUAGUCCACACAGUAAACGAUAAUCACUAGGUGUUGGGUUCGUAUAGGACUCGGUGCCGGAGCUAACGCGAUAAGUGAUUCGCCUGGGGAGUACGAUCGCAAGGUUGAAACUCAAAUGAAUUGACGG